AGGACGAACGCUGGCGGCGUGCUUAACACAUGCAAGUCGAGGGCACUUUGGGGGCAACUCUGGAGUGACCGGCGAACGGGUGCGUAACACGUGAGCGACCUUGCCUCGUGGUGGGGGAUAGCCGGCCCAACGGCCGGGUAAUACCGCAUAGGGUAGUUCUUUCGCAUGGGAGAACUAGCAAAGCCCUGGAGCAAUCCAGUGGCGCCACAGGGGGGGCUCGCGGCCUAUCAGCUAGUUGGCGGGGUAAUGGCCCACCAAGACGAUGAUCUGUAUCCGGCCUGAGAGGGCGCACGGACACACUGGAACUGAAACACGGUCCAGACUCCUACGGGAGGCAGCAGUGGGGAAUUUUGCGCAAUGGGGGAAACCCUGACGCAGCAACGCCGCGUGGAGGAUGAAAUCCCUUGGGAUGUAAACUCCUUUCGAUCGGGAAGAUAAUGGCGGUACCGAGAGAAGAAGCCCCGGCUAACUUCGCGCCAGCAGCCGCGGU
rnacentral:rRNA from 1 species